GUGGGGCCUUUUCCGGACUGACCGGUGAUGUGGAAGGGUCCAGCUCACCGUGGGCAGUGCCACUCUUGUGCAGGUGGUCCUGGAAUACGAAAAAACCAAGCUGAGCAAGUUAUGGAGACAGUUCAUUUCUCCACGGUCUCUGCAGCAACUCUCGCCUCCAGAUUCCUGUUUGAGUUCCUACCCUCAGCGAUGGAGUGAGAUUCCAGCUAGUUUCCUGUAGUCACUGGCCAUACACAGCGUGGACAACAUACAGGAUGAAGAUGGGUCUCUGUGUGACGGUUCAUGGACCCAAGAAAUUCUUCACCCAAUGAGAUGGGAGAGAAUGGGAACCUAGUCAAGACAGACAGCUUGGCAAAGCUUCUGGGAAGAAAUCUUCAGUACUGGAUGUGUGCGAGCAUGCCUUUGUUGAGGAUCCAGUGCCCCUGGAGCCGGGAAGGGUAAUAUUUUUCCUUAGGGACCACUGUAUGACUCAGCAAGUAAAGGUGCUUGCCACUUAGGCCAGUGGCCUGAGUCUGAGAGAACGAACUCAGUUGUCUCUUGACCCCUACGCUAGAGCCACCGCUCAUGGCAAUGCACACUGAGCCCCUCCAGACAUGAAAGCUGGCUCCACUCCAGGAGAGUAAAUGAAGAAGAUUUUUGCAGAGGUGCUCUACCCACCAGUGAUGCGGCCUGCACACCAGGUUCAGAAGGACGAGAGGUGGUAAAAGAUGAACGUUGACACAGGUGCCGCUCCUGGGUGGGUGAAGACGGCGCAGGAUUUAUGGAUGUGCAAAUGGCCACUGAGAAGAACAAGGCAGACGGGAAAGGCCACCUUCGGCUUGGUCCUUUAUGGAGCUGCUCUUUCACUAGCAAGGCUGUGGUUUCUGUCAGGUGAGAGGUCAACGAUGCUGUGGCCACCUCAGCCCUGCUGCUUGCCCGCUCUCCCCACUGGUCUCCUGGGUGAACUCUGAGACUCUCUCUUGGCAUCUGACAAAUGGGCUAACUGUAGCCCCUUCCUCUUGGGUUACUGUAACAGAGUAAAUGGCACAAAAUAAAAUUGCUGAUGGGAUUCUCCCAUCAGGUAAAACUAACUUUUUGACAUCAGCCAAGAA